UUAAAAAGCUCGUAGUUGAAUUUUGGGCCCGGCUGUCGGUCCGCCUCACGGCGUGUACUGGUCCGGCCGGUUCUUUCCUUCUGUGGAACCCCAUGCCCUUCACUGGGUGUGGGGGGGAAACAGGACUUUUACUUUGAAAAAAUUAGAGUGGUUCAAGCAGGCCUAUGCUCGAAUACAUUAGCAUGGAAUAAUAGAAUAGGACGUGUGGUUCUAUUUUGUUGGUUUCUAGGACCGCCGUAAUGAUUAAUAGGGACAGUCGGGGG
rnacentral:rRNA from 1 species